GAAUUUCAGAAUUACAGGAUGGACAAGUUUUAAGAAUCCUAUAUACUACAAGAGAUGAUGGUGGUUCAAGCUUAUAAUUCAAGAACUCACGAUGGACUUCAAUCUCGAUCAAGCCUCUUAACGUAUGAUAUUCCAAAUAAUGAAUUAUAAUAGCCCAGUUGACUGAUUAUAUAAUUACAGUGAUGAUCCUUAAUUAGAACACUCGAUUGAAAUUUAUAGGCUAAACUAGACAUCAAAUAAGCUGCAUGUAUACAUAUAGACUAUAACUAUAAGAUUAUUAGCUGUAGUAGCUAUAUCCAUCGUAAAGCUGGGUUAGAUUAUCAAUGUCUUUUUGUGAUCAUACUGAUCUUGCCUAAAACGAGACAUUUUUCG